rnacentral:misc_RNA from 1 species
GUUGAAAUUUCCAAUUUGUUCUCAGUAAUUUAAUACAAACAUGCUUAUGAAAUACACACACACGCUAUGACCCAAAAAGUUAAAGAUAAAUUCGAGUAUAUUAAGAGUACUCGAUUUCACAGCAACAUCAACUCAGUUGUAAAACAAUUUGCACCUCUUAGGGCAUUAUUACUGAGGAUGUUAUAAACUAGACUGGAGAAGAGAAAAGCAUCAGUGGUUGUUGGUGUCGUCUCCAAUGAAGUCGUUUCCUUGACGAAACAUGGUUGAAAAAUUGGUAGAAAUAUCAGAAUAGAGAGAAACUACUUUAGAAAUGUUGCCAUUAAGCUCCUGAAUCAGGCUCACAUUCCGCACCAUAUUGUCAGUCGUUCUCGACUGAUGAUUUUCGUUGACUUGCUGUAUCAACGAUCUGUUCCGAUCCAACACCGAUUGCACCUGCCGGAAUCUGUUGGAGAAGUUGUUCCACACAUCGGAGUUGCCUUCCUCUGUACUGAGGUCACGAGGGCGGCGGCGGUCGUCAGUGGUGAGGGAUUGAGGUUUGGCUAGGGUUUGACGGUGGCGCUUAAAGGUGUCUUCCAUGCUCCUAAUGUCGAUUCAAUCAUAAACGUACAUGAGAGAAACACGCACAGACGCUUUCUCUCUAGUCUCUGGGGAGGUGAGGUGCAUACAUACAUAGAUUAGAUAUUUUCCUCAUUU